UACGUGGGGUGCAAACGUUGCUCGGAAUUAUUGGGCGUAAAGCGUGCGCAGGCGGUUUUGUAAGACAGAUGUGAAAUCCCCGGGCUUAACCUGGGAACUGCAUUUGUGACUGCAAGACUAGAGUGCGGCAGAGGGGGGUAGAAUUCCACGUGUAGCAGUGAAAUGCGUAGAUAUGUGGAGGAAUACCGAUGGCGAAGGCAGCCCCCUGGGUCGACACUGACGCUCAUGCACGAAAGCGUGGGGAGCAAACAGG
rnacentral:rRNA from 1 species